UACGUAGGGGGCAAGCGUUGUCCGGACUUAUUGGGCGUAAAGAGCGUGUAGGCGGCCAGGUAGGUCUGCUGUGAAAACUCGAGGCUCAACCUCGAGAUGUCGGCGGAAACCAUCUGGCUAGAGUCCGGAAGAGGAAAGUGGAAUUCCUGGUGUAGCGGUGAAAUGCGCAGAUAUCAGGAAGAACACCCGUGGCGAAGGCGGCUUUCUGGGACGGUACUGACGCUGAGGCGCGAAAGCCAGGGGAGCGAACGGG
rnacentral:rRNA from 1 species